rnacentral:tRNA from 1 species
GCCUUCGUGGUGUAGUGGUCAGCACGCUCGACCAGUAUUCCAGAGGUCCAUGAUUCGAGUCCUGGCGAGGGCA